AGACCUACCCUAAAAGCAGCUACACCAAAAGGAAAUUAUAAGUCAACAUCGAGGUCGCAAUCUUAAUUUUUGAUUAGAACUCUCAAAAAAAAUAACGCUGUUAUCCCUUUGGUAAUUUAAUCUAUUAAUCAAAAACAUUGGAUCAAAAUAAUAAAAAGAAGAUUAAUCACUUCCUUGGUCGCCCCAACCAAAUUUCUUAAAGAUAAAAAAUCAAAAAAAAAAUAAAAGCUCAAAAGGGUCUUCUUGUCCCAUAAAAAAAUUUAGCUUCUUCACUAAAAAAGCAAAUUCAAGACAUUUUAAAAUAAAGAAAAAAACUUGUACUUCCAUUCAUGCUAGUCCUCAAUUAUAAGACAAAUGAUUAUGCUACCUUUGCACGGUCAAAAUACCGCG
rnacentral:rRNA from 1 species